UACGAAGGGGGCUAGCGUUGCUCGGAAUCACUGGGCGUAAAGGGUGCGUAGGCGGGUUUUUAAGUCAGGGGUGAAAUCCUGGAGCUCAACCCCAGAACUGCCUUUGAUACUGAAGAUCUUGAGUCCGGGAGAGGUGAGUGGAACUGCGAGUGUAGAGGUGAAAUUCGUAGAUAUUCGCAAGAACACCAGUGGCGAAGGCGGCUCACUGGCCCGGUACUGACGCUGAGGAGCGAAAGCGUGGGUAGCAAACAGG
rnacentral:rRNA from 1 species